rnacentral:rRNA from 1 species
UACGUAGGGUGCAAGCGUUAUUCGGAAUUACUGGGCGUAAAGCGUGCGCAGGCGGUGAUGUAAGUCAGUUGUGAAAUCCCCGGGCUCAACCUGGGAACUGCAUCUGUGACUGCAUCGCUGGAGUACGGUAGAGGGGGAUGGAAUUCCGCGUGUAGCAGUGAAAUGCGUAGAUAUGCGGAGGAACGCCGAUGGCGAAGGCAAUCCCCUGGACCUGUACUGACGCUCAUGCACGAAAGCGUGGGGAGCAAACAGG